rnacentral:lncRNA from 1 species
CGUGGUGCAAGGUGUGACCUCAGGCAAUGUGACUGGUACUGAGUGCACUGUACAGGAGUCGUACCUGAUGUACAAAACUGUUCUGACUCAGCACGCGCACGAAGUCUGCACUAACACGUGGUGUUGGCAUUUUCCUCCGCGAUGUAGGAGAUGAAGAACAGAGCUGAGGUCAACGUACAAAGUGGUCACGGAGCUCGCCUAUCGCAGGAAGAAU